AGAGUUUGAUUCUGGCUCAGAACGAACGCUGGCAGCGUGGAUUAGGCAUGCAAGUCGAACGGGAAUCUUCGGAUUCAAUCUUUCGAGAGAGAAACCGGGGAGGAGAGUGGCGAAAGGGUGAGUAACGCGUGGAUAACCUGCCCCUGAGUUGAGGAUAACUUACCGAAAGGGAGGCUAAUACUGAAUGUGGUCAAGUUUGCUUCGGCAGUCUUGAUUAAAGGUGGGGACCCUUCGGGGCCUGCCGCUUGGGGAGGGGUCCGCGUGCCAUCAGCUUGUUGGUAGGGUAACGGCCUACCAAGGCUUACGGCUAGCUGGUCUGAGAGGAUGAUCAGCCACACUGGGACUGAGACACUGCCCAGACUCCUACGGGAGGCUGCAGUCGAGGAUCAUUCGCAAUGCGCGAAAGCGUGACGAUGCGACGCUGCGUGGAGGAUGACGGCCUUCGGGUUGUAAACUCCUGUCAUGAGGGAAGAACGAGCGGGCUGUUAAUACCGGUCCGCUGUGACGGUACCUCAAGAGGAAGCCACGGCUAACUCUGUGCCAGCAGCCGCGGUAAUACAGAGGUGGCGAGCGUUGUUCGGAUUUACCGGGCGUAAAGCGUACGUAGGUGGUUUCGUGUGUCGGAUGUGAAAGCCCACGGCUCAACCGUGGAACUGCAUUCGAAACUGCGGGGCUAGAGUACAGGAGGGGAGAGCGGAAUUCUUGGUGUAGCGGUGAAAUGCGUUGAUAUCAAGAAGAACACCGGUGGCGAAGGCGGCUCUCUGGAAUGUUACUGACACUGAGGCACGAAAGCUGGGGGAGCGAACAGGAUUAGAUACCCUGGUAGUCCCAGCCGUAAACGGUGUGCACUUGGUGUUGGCGGAUUUGACCCCGCCAGUGCCGGAGCUAACGCGUUAAGUGCACCGCCUGGGGAGUACGGCCGCAAGGCUAAAACUCAAAGAAAUUGACGGGGGCCCGCACAAGCGGAGGAGCAUGUGGCUUAAUUCGAUGCAACGCGAAGAACCUUACCUGGGCUUGGCAUGGUACUGCACGCCCCGUGAAAGCGGGGUUCCUUCGAGGGUGUACCACAGGUGCUGCAUGGCUGUCGUCAGUUCGUGCCGUGAGGUGUUGGGUUAAGUCCCGCAACGAACGCAACCCCUGUGUUUAGUUGCCACUCCCGGUGAUGAGCCGGGAAGCACUCUAGACAGACUGCCUGUACAAGCAGGAGGAAGGUGGGGACGACGUCAAGUCAGUAUGGCCCUUACGCCCAGGGCUGCACACGUGCUACAAUGGUCGGUACAGAGGGCUGCAAUGCCGCGAGGUGGAGCUAAUCCCCAAAGCCGACCCCAGUUCGGAUUGGAGUCUGCAACUCGACUCCAUGAAGUUGGAUUCGCUAGUAAUGGCGCAUCAGCUACGGCGCCGUGAAUACGUUCCCGGGCCUUGUACACACCGCCCGUCACAUCAUGAAAGCCGUCUGCACCCGAAGUCGCUGAGCCAACCAUUUACUUGGAGGCAGGUGCCGAAGGUGUGGGUGGUGAUUGGGAUGAAGUCGGAACAAGGUA
rnacentral:rRNA from 1 species